rnacentral:rRNA from 1 species
GUCUAUGGCCAUGCCACCCUGAACAAGCCCAAUCCCGUCUAAUCUCGGAAGCUAAGCAAGGUAGGGCCUAGUUAGUACUUGGAUGGGAGACCACCUAGGAAGACCAGGUGCUGUAGGUG